CUCUAGAUAUCUUAGUGGCGGACGGGUGAGUAACGCGCGAGAAACCUACCUUUCACAAGGGAAUAGCCUCGGGAAACUGGGAUUAAUACCCUAUGAUACCUAAAGAUCGCCUGAUCUUUAAGUUAAAACGUAAAGUGGUGAAAGAUGGUCUCGCGUCCCAUUAGUUAGUUGGUAAGGUAGAGGCUUACCAAGACAGCGAUGGGUAGCCGGCCUGAGAGGGUGAACGGCCACACUGGAACUGAGACACGGUCCAGACUCCUACGGGAGGCAGCAGUGGGGAAUAUUGCACAAUGGAGGAAACUCUGAUGCAGCGACGCCGCGUGAACGACGAAGGCUUUCGGGUCGUAAAGUUCUGUCCUUGGGGACGAUAAUGACGGUACCCAAGGAGGAAGCCCCGGCUAACUACGUGCCAGCAGCCGCGGUAAUACGUAGGGGGCGAGCGUUGUCCGGAAUUAUUGGGCGUAAAGGGUUCGCAGGCGGUCUUUUAAGUCAGAUGUUAAAUGCAUAGGCUCAACCUAUGAGUGCAUUUGAAACUGGAAGACUUGAGUAAAGGAGAGGAA
rnacentral:rRNA from 1 species